AUGGUAGCCAACAUGUCAUCUGGCAUUUUAAUGGAUUUGGAUGUGCGUCUGUUUUUGAUGAAGCACUUUUUCUUGUUUAUAAUGAAUGCAAUCUCUCCGAGGGUAGAGUGGAAGAGGCAGGAGAUGGGGUGCAUGGUGAGGGACAAGAGGGUAGAGUGGAAGAGGCAGGAGAUGGGGUGCAUGGUGAGAGACAAGAGGGUAGAGUGGAAGAGGCAGGAGAUGGGGUGCAUGGUGAGAGACAAGAGGGUAGAGUGGAAGAGGCAGGAGAUGGGGUGCAUGGUGAGAGACAAGAGGGUAGGGUGGAAGAGGCAGGAGAUGGGGUGCAUGGUGAGAGACAAGAGGGUAGAGUGGAAGAGGCAGGAGAUGGGGUGCAUGGUGAGAGACAAGAGGGUAGAGUGGAAGAGGCAGGAGAUGGGGUGCAUGGUGAGGGACAAGAGGGUAGGGUGGAAGAGGCAGGAGAUGGGGUGCAUGGUGAGAGACAAGAGGGUAGAGUGGAAGAGGCAGGAGAUGGGGUGCAUGGUGAGAGACAAGAGGGUAGAGUGGAAGAGGCAGGAGAUGGGGUGCAUGGUGAGGGACAAGAGGGUAGGGUGGAAGAGGCAGGAGAUGGGGUGCAUGGUGAGAGACAAGAGGGUAGAGUGGAAGAGGCAGGAGAUGGGGUGCAUGGUGAGAGACAAGAGGGUAGAGUGGAAGAGGCAGGAGAUGGGGUGCAUGGUGAGAGACAAGAGGGUAGAGUGGAAGAGGCAGGAGAUGGGGUGCAUGGUGAGAGACAAGAGGGUAGAGUGGAAGAGGCAGGAGAUGGGGUGCAUGGUGAGGGACAAGAGGGUAGGGUGGAAGAGGCAGGAGAUGGGGUGCAUGGUGAGAGACAAGAGGGUAGAGUGGAAGAGGCAGGAGAUGGGGUGCAUGGUGAGAGACAAGAGGGUAGAGUGGAAGAGGCAGGAGAUGGGGUGCAUGGUGAGAGACAAGAGGGUAGGGUGGAAGAGGCAGGAGAUGGGGUGCAUGGUGAGAGACAAGAGGGUAGAGUGA
ensembl:lncRNA